rnacentral:rRNA from 1 species
CGACGCGUCUUGGUUAUUGAUGUUAGAUGCUUGCAUUUAACUGAUUUAACAUUGAGACGAGUGGCGAACUGGUGAGUAACACGUGGGUAACCUGCCCUUGAAGUAGGGGAUAACACUUGGAAACAGGUGCUAAUACCGUAUAACAACCAAAACCACCUGGUUUUGGUUUAAAAGAUGGCUUCGGCUAUCACUUUAGGAUGGACCCGCGGCGUAUUAGCUUGUUGGUAAGGUAACGGCCUACCAAGGCAAUGAUACGUAGCCGACCUGAGAGGGUAAUCGGCCACAUUGGGACUGAGACACGGCCCAAACUCCUACGGGAGGCAGCAGUAGGGAAUCUUCCACAAUGGACGAAAGUCUGAUGGAGCAACGCCGCGUGAGUGAUGAAGGGUUUCGGCUCGUAAAACUCUGUUGUUGGAGAAGAACAGGUGUGAGAGUAACUGUUCACAUCUUGACGGUAUCCAACCAGAAAGCCACGGCUAACUACGUGCCAGCAGCCGCGGUAAUACGUAGGUGGCAAGCGUUGUCCGGAUUUAUUGGGCGUAAAGCGAGCGCAGGCGGUUUCUUAGGUCUGAUGUGAAAGCCUUCGGCUUAACCGGAGAAGUGCAUCGGAAACCAGGAGACUUGAGUGCAGAAGAGGACAGUGGAACUCCAUGUGUAGCGGUGAAAUGCGUAGAUAUAUGGAAGAACACCAGUGGCGAAGGCGGCUGUCUGGUCUGUAACUGACGCUGAGGCUCGAAAGCAUGGGUAGCGAACAGGAUUAGAUACCCUGGUAGUCCAUGCCGUAAACGAUGAGUGCUAAGUGUUGGAGGGUUUCCGCCCUUCAGUGCUGCAGCUAACGCAUUAAGCACUCCGCCUGGGGAGUA